rnacentral:rRNA from 1 species
UACAGGGGGUGCGAGCGUUAAUCGGAGUUACUGGGUGUAAAGGGCGCGUAGGCGGUGAGAUGUGUGUGAUGUGAAAUCCCCGGGCUUAACCUGGGAAUGGCGUUUGGGACUGGGAGUCUGGAGUGCGGCAGAGGAGACUGGAAUUCCUGGUGUAGCAGUGAAAUGCGUAGAUAUCAGGAGGAACACCGAUGGCGAAGGCAGGUCUCUGGGCUGACACUGACGCUCAUGCACGAAAGCGUGGGGAGCAAACAGG